AUUGAACGCUGGCGGCAGGCUUAACACAUGCAAGUCGAGCGGAGAGAGGUAGCUUGCUACUGAUCUUAGCGGCGGACGGGUGAGUAAUGCUUAGGAAUCUGCCUAUUAGUGGGGGACAACACUUCGAAAGGAAUGCUAAUACCGCAUACGUCCUACGGGAGAAAGCAGGGGAUCUUUGGACCUUGCGCUAAUAGAUGAGCCUAAGUCGGAUUAGCUAGUUGGUGGGGUAAAGGCCUACCAAGGCGACGAUCUGUAGCGGGUCUGAGAGGAUGAUCCGCCACACUGGGACUGAGACACGGCCCAGACUCCUACGGGAGGCAGCAGUGGGGAAUAUUGGACAAUGGGCGCAAGCCUGAUCCAGCCAUGCCGCGUGUGUGAAGAAGGCCUUAUGGUUGUAAAGCACUUUAAGCGAGGAGGAGGCUACUUUAGUUAAUACCUAGAGAUAGUGGACGUUACUCGCAGAAUAAGCACCGGCUAACUCUGUGCCAGCCGCCGCGGUAACAC
rnacentral:rRNA from 1 species